UACGAAGGGUGCUAGCGUUGUUCGGAUUUACUGGGCGUAAAGCGCACGUAGGCGGAUCGUUAAGUGAGGGGUGAAAUCCCAGGGCUCAACCCUGGAACUGCCUUUCAUACUGGCGAUCUAGAGUCCGGAAGAGGUGAGUGGAACUCCUAGUGUAGAGGUGGAAUUCGUAGAUAUUAGGAAGAACACCAGUGGCGAAGGCGGCUCACUGGUCCGGUACUGACGCUGAGGUGCGAAAGCGUGGGGAGCAAACAGG
rnacentral:rRNA from 1 species